rnacentral:rRNA from 1 species
GGCUCAGGACGAACGCUGGCGGCGUGCUUAACACAUGCAAGUCGAGCGAGAAAGCUCCUUCGGGAGCGAGUACAGCGGCGAACGGGUGAGUAACACAUGGGCAACCUGCCCUAGGGAGCGGGACAACUCGGGGAAACUCGAGCUAAUACCGCAUGAUUCGGCCUUGCAUAAGUAAGGCCGGGAAAUGGUAGCUUAGGCCUCCGCCCUAGGAUGGGCCCGCGGCCGAUUAGCUAGUUGGUGUGGUAACGGCGCACCAAGGCGACGAUCGGUAGCUGGUCUGAGAGGACGAUCAGCCACACUGGGACUGAGACACGGCCCAGACUCCUACGGGAGGCAGCAGUGGGGAAUCUUGCGCAAUGGGCGAAAGCCUGACGCAGCAACGCCGCGUGGGGGAAGAAGGCCUUCGGGUUAUAAACCUCUUUCAGGAGGGACGAAGCCACCAGGGUUAAUAGCCUAUGGGGUGACGGUACCUUCAGAAGAAGCCCCGGCUAACUACGUGCCAGCAGCCGCGGUAAUACGUAGGGGGCAAGCGUUGUCCGGAAUUAUUGGGCGUAAAGCGCGUGUAGGCGGCUUGGUAAGUCUGGUGUGAAACCUUGGGGCUUAACCCCAAGCCUGCACUGGAUACUGCCUCGCUAGAGUCCGGGAGGGGAGAGCGGAAUUCCCAGUGUAGCGGUGAAAUGCGCAGAUAUUGGGAAGAACACNCAGUGGCGAAGGCGGCUCUCUGGAACGGUACUGACGCUGAGACGCGAAAGCGUGGGGAGCGAACAGGAUUAGAUACNCCUGGUAGUCCACGCCGUAAACGAUGGGCACUAGAUGUGGGCGGUGUCGACUCCGUCCGUGUCGAAGCUAACGCAUUAAGUGCCCCGCCUGGGGAGUACGGCCGCAAGGCUAAAACUCAAAGGAAUUGACGG